GCAGCUCAGUGGUAGAGCAUUUGCCUAGCAUGUAGGAGGCCCCAGGGUUCAAUUCCCAGUGCA
rnacentral:tRNA from 1 species